AUUGAACGCUGGCGGCAGGCCUAACACAUGCAAGUCGAGCGAGCGGCGGACGGGUGAGUAAUGUCUGGGAAACUGCCUGAUGGAGGGGGAUAACUACUUGAAACGGUAGCUAAUACCGCAUACCAUCAGAUGUGCCCAGAUGGGAUUAGCUAGUAGGUGGGGUAAUGGCUCACCUAGGCGCCGAUCCCUAGCUGGUCUGAGAGGAUGACCCGCCAACCUGGAACGGAGACACUGUCCAAACUCCUACGGGAGGCAGCAGGGGGGAAUAUUGCAAAAUGGGCGCAAGCCUGAUGCAGCCAUGCCGCGUGUGUGAAGAAGGCCUGCGGGUUGUAAAGCACUUUCAGCGGGGAGGCGUUACCCGCAGAAGAAGCACCGGCUAACUCCGUGCCAGCAGCCGCGGUAAUUC
rnacentral:rRNA from 1 species